rnacentral:rRNA from 1 species
UACACUCCUGCGGGAGGCAGCAGUGGGGAAUAUUGGACAAUGGGCGCAAGCCUGAUCCAGCCAUGCCGCGUGAGUGAUGAAGGCCCUAGGGUUGUAAAGCUCUUUCACCGGUGAAGAUAAUGACGGUAACCGGAGAAGAAGCCCCGGCUAACUUCGUGCCAGCAGCCGCGGUAAUACGAAGGGGGCUAGCGUUGUUCGGAUUUACUGGGCGUAAAGCGCACGUAGGCGGACUAUUAAGUCAGGGGUGAAAUCCCGGGGCUCAACCCCGGAACUGCCUUUGAUACUGGUAGUCUUGAGUUCGAGAGAGGUGAGUGGAAUUCCGAGUGUAGAGGUGAAAUUCGUAGAUAUUCGGAGGAACACCAGUGGCGAAGGCGGCUCACUGGCUCGAUACUGACGCUGAGGUGCGAAAGCGUGGGGAGCAAACAGGAUUAGAAACCCUUGUAGUCCC